rnacentral:rRNA from 1 species
UACGGAGGGGGCUAGCGUUGUUCGGAAUUACUGGGCGUAAAGCGCACGUAGGCGGCUUUGUAAGUUAGAGGUGAAAGCCCGGGGCUCAACUCCGGAAUUGCCUUUAAGACUGCAUCGCUAGAAUUGUGGAGAGGUAAGUGGAAUUCCGAGUGUAGAGGUGAAAUUCGUAGAUAUUCGGAAGAACACCGGUGGCGAAGGCGGCCAACUGGACAGAUACUGACGCUGAGACUCGAAAGCGUGGGGAGCAAACAGG